UAGUGUUACAGCUCUUUGAGAAUUUGUCUAGCAGGCUUUUGGGUCUUUACUAGAAAGCCCCU
ensembl:snRNA U7 U7 small nuclear RNA